CAAUAGCGUAUAUUAAAGUUGUUGCAGUUAAAAAGCUCGUAGUUGGAUUUCUUGGAGGGUGCCAAUGUCCGCUACGGCGUGCGCAGCGGCGCCCUUCCAUCCUUCUGUUAACGCCUCUUGGCAUUCGUUUGCUGGUGGCGGGCUCAGAUAUUUUACCUUGAGAAAAUUAGAGUGUUUCAGGCAGGCUAGGCCGGAAUACAUUAGCAUGGAAUAAUGGAACAGGACUUUGGUCUCUUUGUUGGUUUGAGGGACUGCAGUAAUGAUUAAUAGGGACAGUUGGGGGCAUUAGUAUUUAAUUGUCAGAGGUGGAAUUCUCAGAUUUGUUAAAGACUAACUUAUGCGAAAGCAUUUGCCAAGGAUGUUUUCAUUAA
rnacentral:rRNA from 1 species